rnacentral:rRNA from 1 species
GGGAUAUUGGACAAUGGGGGGAACCCUGAUCCAGCGACGCCGCGUGAGUGAAGAAGUAUUUCGGUAUGUAAAGCUCUGUCAGCAGGGAAGAAAGCAAUGAUGGUACCUGACCAAGAAGCACCGGCUAACUACGUGCCAGCAGCCGCGGUAAAACGUAGGGGGCAAGCGUUAUCCGGAUUUACGGGGUGUAAAGGGAGCGUAGACGGCAGCGCAAGUCUGGAGUGAAAUGCCGGGGCUCAACCCCGGAACUGCUUUGGAAACUGUGCAGCUAGAGUGCGGGAGAGGUAAGCGGAAUUCCUAGUGUAGCGGUGAAAUGCGUAGAUAUUAGGAGGAACACCAGUGGCGAAGGCGGCUUGCUGGACCGUAACUGAUGUUGAGGCUCGAAAGCGUGGGGAGCAA